UACAGAGGUGUCAAGCGUUGUUCGGAUUCAUUGGGCGUAAAGGGUGUGUAGGUGGCGCCGUAAGUCGGGUGUGAAAUUUCGGAGCUUAACUCCGAAACUGCAUUCGAUACUGCGGUGCUUGAGGACUGAAGAGGAGACUGGAAUUCAUGGUGUAGCAGUGAAAUGCGUAGAGAUCAUGAGGAAGACCAGUGGCGAAGGCGGGUCUCUGGACAGUUCCUGACACUGAGACACGAAGGCCAGGGGAGCAAACGGG
rnacentral:rRNA from 1 species